rnacentral:ncRNA from 1 species
GUUUGCACCGAGCCUUUGCCGAAUGAUUUUUCACCGAUAACAAUGGCGCGGUGAUGGUCUUGCAAAGCACCGGCAACAAUUUCAGAGGCAGAAGCCGAGCCUUCGUUAAUAAUAACCACAAUCGGCAAUCCGGCGGCAAUGUCACCGGCCUGCGCCGUGUAUUUUACGGUAUCUUCUUCAUUGCGGGAGCGGGUGGAAACAAUUUCGCCCUUAUCUAAAAAUAAAUCUGAAACCGCAACCGCCUGAUCAAGCAAACCGCCCGGAUUGUUGCGA